AUUCUAGAGGACUGGGCGGGGAGAUGGUGUCUUCCCGGCCGGGUGGCACUGACCGGUCAUGCUCAGGGCCCCCUUCUGGUUGCCGGUGCCUCACCUCUGGCCAGGUGGCAUCGGCUUCCGGGUAAAUCUGAGCUGCCCAAAGCGAGCCUCCGGAGGCUGCUCCAUCUCCUGGAACGUUUACUCAUUCAGGCCUCUGGACGUCGAUACUGGGGAUGAAAAGUUCAGAAAGUGGACAGAUUCCUGGUCUUCAGUCCAGACCUACUGAGUUAAAAUAUUGAGGAGAGAUGGAGCUCAACAGAUGCCCUAGGUGACUCUGAUGUGGCCUAAGUCUGGGGAAACAGUACACCCUGCAGUACUUCUCCAACCUAACAGAAAUGCGGAUUCUGAUUCGCAAUGUUUCCUGAAAUAUACCUGAGCUUGGAACAGCAUGGAUCUGUACGAGCUGGUGCCCCACUAGUUGAUGACGUGGCUUCAUGAAAACAGAGGAGCACCUCACCACAAGAAGAGACCCUUGCAGUAGGAAACAAAGCUGCGUGAGAAGAGUUUCAGUCUCUGUGGGUGACUCUCCAAGAGUUGGAAUGCACUGGUCACGGUGUUGACAACACAGAUAAGAGGAAUCACAUUUAGAAAUAAGUAAUCCCAUGUGGCAGCCAGAGAGAUGGGUGGUAAGAGGCUGAGAGACGCUCUUGGAGCAGGGUCGUCAGUGAGCACCGACAGCUGGAGUGGGCAGCGCUGGAUGCAUCGCCUGCCUGGCCCCCAACCUCAUUUACCCACAGCCUGCCUGACCUUGCUGAACUCCAUCCCAGAUCCUCAUUUGGUGAACCUGGGCUAUAGACUUAGGCUUUGCCUGGCAUUUGUUUGGAGCUGGAUGCUUGGGCAUGGCUGUCUGGUCAUGAUGACAUGGAUCACCAGCCCUGGAGCUCUGGGUAGCUGGAGAGAGCCACUGAAACUGGCCACCUAUUUGGCUUUGUUGUGGCAGAGACUAGCUUAUUUCUAGGGCUCCAUCUAGAUCUUCUAGCUUCAUGCUUCCUAUUAAUACUCCGAUUCAU